UACGGAGGGUGCGAGCGUUGUCCGGAAUCACUGGGCGUAAAGGGCGCGUAGGCGGCCUGAUAAGUAGGGGGUGAAAUCCUGCGGCUUAACCGCAGGGCUGCCUUCUAAACUGUCAGGCUAGAGCACAGUAGAGGCAGGUGGAAUUCCCGGUGUAGCGGUGGAAUGCGUAGAGAUCGGGAGGAAUACCAGUGGCGAAGGCGGCUUACUGGCUCAUUCCUGACGCUGAGGAGCGAAAGCGUGGGGAGCAAACGGG
rnacentral:rRNA from 1 species